CAUUUCUUCCUAACACUGAACGGGAAUCUGACAUCUUCCACCUCCAAUAAUACUAUCUCAUCUAGCUUUUGUACUUCUGUGAUUGAAAUCAGCAUAUCAGUCUUCUCAAAGUUGUUUGCUCUUGACAAAUUUUCACCCAUCGACACCAGAGUGCCCCACUUUCCAGCAAUCCUUUUGAACGUUUCGUAAUUCCAGCAAUGCAUGGGUACCCCAGAUAUUUCAAUCCAUGUAACCUUCUCAGAGAACACCGUCUUUUCUGACCAAGAUAAUCCACCAAGUUAGGAAGCAGAAUCGGGAAAUUGGAGGGCUAGUCUCGGAUUGAAGAUAUAUAAAUAUUUUUUUUACAUAAUAUUAUUUAUAGUUCCUAUUUUUUGAGAACUUUAACAUCUUAUUCAAACUGUGGCACAAGAGUUAGUUUUGAGUUUAUUUAGGGCAUGCAUGGUAUUUUUAGGCUAUUAAAACUUGAGUUUUUAUUUUAUUUUAUAAUGCAUGAAACAUGAUUUUCAUUAAAA